rnacentral:rRNA from 1 species
GACGAACGCUGGCGGCGUGCUUAACACAUGCAAGUCGAGCGGUAAGGCCCUUCGGGGUACACGAGCGGCGAACGGGUGAGUAACACGUGGGCGACCUGCCCUCAGCUCUGGGAUAAGCCCGGGAAACUGGGUCUAAUACCGGAUAGGACCUCUCAUCGCAUGGUGGGUGGUGGAAAGUUUUUCGGCUGAGGAUGGGCCCGCGGCCUAUCAGCUUGUUGGUGGGGUGAUGGCCUACCAAGGCGACGACGGGUAGCCGGCCUGAGAGGGCGACCGGCCACACUGGGACUGAGACACGGCCCAGACUCCUACGGGAGGCAGCAGUGGGGAAUAUUGCGCAAUGGGCGAAAGCCUGACGCAGCGACGCCGCGUGGGGGAUGACGGCCUUCGGGUUGUAAACCUCUUUCGACCGGGACGAAGCGCAAGUGACGGUACCGGUAGAAGAAGCACCGGCCAACUACGUG